UUGUUUUUGUUUUUUGGACGCUUCUGCGGCAUGUGGAAAUUCUUGAGUCAGUGAUUCAACCGGAGCCACAGCUGUAACCGGAGCCCCAGCAGCGACAACACCAGAUUUAACCUGGUGAGCCGUGCGGAAAAUCCUGGCAGACCCUGGGUUUAACAAGGAUAGAUCCUGGGAGUUUCAAUGGCUUCUGUGUGCAAAUACAACAGCAAGCAACUUCCUCCAUCAAGUUUAAUUAGAAAGAGUAUGAACCAUACAAAUACGUUCCAGCAAAGUUGGCUGAAGCACUGAUCGUGCGAACUCAUUUGCUUCCAUUUGCGUUUGGAGAGGUGCCAAAAAGAAAAAAAAAGGAUUUGCAUAUCGUCCUAAAAAAAUUCCUUAGUAAAGCACAGUAAAAACCUUUCUCUGGUCUGCACAUUAACAGGCAUCCAGACACCUGGCCCAUUGGAUGACGGAUUCCUGGAAGCAGAAUUUGCUCCACUGUCCCCAAACCAGGACCCUCCCUCCCCAGCCUCCCUCCACCCUCACCCGAGGCGUGAGAACGUCUAGUCUCGCUGUGAGAUCCACGCUGCCGGGACUUACCUUGCCAUGGCCUUGGCCCUGACAUUCAGCGUCUCCAGCAGCACUUGGCUGCAGCUUUAUACUCCCAGUAGAUUCUGCUGCCCAACUAGCAUGUACACCUGUCGCCACGGCGUCCACAGGGUUCUGUUAAAGGAGUUGCAGGGCUUCCCCAGGCUCUUAAAUUCUAAAAUCUUGGUAGGUCAAGUUUGCCUGCCUUUCGGGACAGGAACAAUCUAUUCUUUGUAUCCGUGUCCUUGGCCCCUCC